rnacentral:rRNA from 1 species
AGGGCACCACCAGGAGUGGAGCCUGCGGCUUAAUUUGACUCAACACGGGGAAACUUACCCGGCCUGGACACUGGAAGGAUUGACAGAUUGAGAGCUCUUUCUUGAUUCAGUGGGUGGUGGUGCAUGGCCGUUCUUAGUUGGUGGAGCGAUUUGUCUGGUUAAUUCCAAUAACGAACGAGACUCUAGCCUAUUAAAUAGGCUCUCGGCUUUUAAACGCCGGGAGGACUUCUUAGAGGGACAGGUGGCGGUUCAGCCGCACGAAAGAGAGCAAUAACAGGUCUGUGAUGCCCUUUGUUGUCCGGGGCCGCACGCGCGCUACACUGAAGAGAUCAGCGUGCUUUACGUUCCUGCUCCGACCGGAGUGGGGAACCCAGUGAACCUUCUUCGUGAUUGGGAUAGAAGAUUGUAAUUAUUCUUCUUGAACGAGGAAUUCCCAGUAAAUGCGAGUCAUAAGCUCGCGUUGAUUACGUCCCUGCCCUUUGUACACACCGCCCGUCGCUACUACCGAUUGAACGAUUU